UACGUAGGGCGCAAGCGUUGUCCGGAAUUAUUGGGCGUAAAGAGCUCGUAGGCGGCUUGUCACGUCGGAUGUGAAAGCCCGGGGCUUAACUCCGGGUCUGCAUUCGAUACGGGCUGGCUAGAGUGUGGUAGGGGAGAUCGGAAUUCCUGGUGUAGCGGUGAAAUGCGCAGAUAUCAGGAAGAACACCCGUGGCUAAGGCGGCUCUCUAGUACGGUACUGACGCUGAGACGCGAAAGCGUGGGGAGCGAACAGG
rnacentral:rRNA from 1 species